UUGCACGAAAUCAACGCGGAAAUUAUAUUCGGAGUGCAACGCCGGUCUGAAGGGCUUGCCUACGCUCUACCACGAACCUCAAUUCACUUUGCAUAUCCUUUGUACAUUCAUUUGGGAAAGGAUGAAAACACAGAGGUGGAGAGGGAGGGAACUAACAGACCAACAAUCCUUCCCCAGUUCCCCGUACCAGGCGUCCCAUACCAUAAACACUCCCGAACCUGAGGCCAUGCAGGUGGGGCAAACCCAACUCUCGGUGCUGGAGCAUCUCUGCCUGUAAUGUGGUGGACCAGGCCACCGUAUCUCCAAUUGCCCGGUAAAAGACAAUGCCCGUUAGUGAAGGAGGGGGUCCUGAUGGGCGCCACUGAAUCCAUCCCCCUCAACCUCAAGGUCCACUAUCAUGGCUUACAUCUCCUGGGAGGGGCUCGCCACCAAGUGCGAGUUCUGAUCGACUCCGGAGCCAAUGCCAACCUGAUCUGCCCCACUCUGGUCGGUCACCUGGGAGUUCCGACCUUUAUGUUUUUGACUUCUGCCUCUGGAUUCCGAUUCUGUCUAAUUUGCCUGUUUGUUUUUGACCCUCUGCCUGUGACCACGACUAUGAUUUGGAUUCUUUCAUCUUGGUCUUGCAUCUGGGUCUGGUGCUCCACGUGCCUGAUACAUUGGCCAUAGUGGGUUCAUAUAAACUCUAUAAAGGUUGACUUUACA